rnacentral:rRNA from 1 species
UACAGAGGUCCCAAGCGUUGUUCGGAUUCAUUGGGCGUAAAGGGUGCGUAGGUGGCGGGGUAAGUCUGAUGUGAAAUCUCCGAGCUUAACUCGGAAACUGCAUCGGAUACUGCCUUGCUCGAGGGUUGGAGGGGGGACUGGAAUACUUGGUGUAGCAGUGAAAUGCGUAGAUAUCAAGUGGAACACCAGUGGCGAAGGCGAGUCCCUGGACAACUCCUGACACUGAGGCACGAAAGCUAGGGGAGCAAACAGG